rnacentral:rRNA from 1 species
GAUGAACGCUGGCGGUCUGCUUAACACAUGCAAGUCGAGCGCCCCGCAAGGGGAGCGGCAGACGGGUGAGUAACGCGUGGGAAUCUACCCAUCCCUACGGAAUAGCUCCGGGAAACUGGAAUUAAUACCGUAUACGCCCUACGGGGGACAGAUUUAUCGGGGAUGGAUGAGCCCGCGUUGGAUUAGCUAGUUGGUGGGGUAAAGGCCUACCAAGGCGACGAUCCAUAGCUGGUCUGAGAGGAUGAUCAGCCACAUUGGGACUGAGACACGGCCCAAACUCCUACGGGAGGCAGCAGUGGGGAAUAUUGGACAAUGGGGGCAACCCUGAUCCAGCCAUGCCGCGUGAGUGAUGAAGGCCUUAGGGUUGUAAAGCUCUUUCACCGGGGAAGAUAAUGACAGUGCCUGGAGAAUAAGCUCCGGCUAACUCCGUGCCAGCAGCCGCAGUAAAAC